UACGAAGGGGGCUAGCGUUGCUCGGAAUCACUGGGCGUAAAGCGCACGUAGGCGGACUCUUAAGUCGGUGGUGAAAUCCUGGAGCUCAACUCCAGAACUGCCUUCGAUACUGGGAGUCUUCGAGUCCGGGAGAGGUGAGUGGAACUGCGAGUGUAGAGGUGAAAUUCGUAGAUAUUCGCAAGAACACCAGUGGCGAAGGCGGCGACCUGGGUAGAUACUGACGCUGAGGUGCGAAAGCGUGGGGAGCAAACAGGG
rnacentral:rRNA from 1 species